GACGAACGCUGGCGGCGUGCCUAAUACAUGCAAGUAGAACGCACAGUUUAUACCGUAGCUUGCUACACCAUAGACUGUGAGUUGCGAACGGGUGAGUAACGCGUAGGUAACCUGCCUGGUAGCGGGGGAUAACUAUUGGAAACGAUAGCUAAUACCGCAUAAUAUUAAUUAUUGCAUGAUAAUUAAUUGAAAGGUGCAAUUGCACCACUACCAGAUGGACCUGCGUUGUAUUAGCUAGUAGGGGAGGUAACGGCUCACCUAGGCGACGAUACAUAGCCGACCUGAGAGGGUGAUCGGCCACACUGGGACUGAGACACGGCCCAGACUCCUACGGGAGGCAGCAGUAGGGAAUCUUCGGCAAUGGACGAAAGUCUGACCGAGCAACGCCGCGUGAGUGAAGAAGGUUGUCGGAUCGUAAAGCUCUGUUGUAAGAGAAGAACGGGUGUGAGAGUGGAAAGUUCACACUGUGACGGUAGCUUACCAGAAAGAGACGGCUAACUACGUG
rnacentral:rRNA from 1 species